GGGAUAAAUUCAAACCUGCAAAACAACAGGACUCAAGCAUUUCGCCAAACACCUCAUGUUUUCCCUUUGAAAAUAAUAAAUUUCUGUGAGGCUAGCUUUGGAUGAUGGUAUUCAAGUGCCACCGAAUUGAGGUUCAAUCCUUGACACUUAAUACAUUCAUCUAAACCAGCAUAACAAAAAUUUAAUACUUUCAAAGGAGAAACAUGAGGCGCUUGCGAAAUGCUUGAGUCCUGUUGUUUGACAAGUUUGAAUUAGCC
rnacentral:pre_miRNA from 1 species